AGCAUAUUUUGCCCAGGCGGCGCUCGACCGCCACUGCAAGAAAUAGCGUCGUUAAAGGUGCCGCUGAUGGAACAGCAUGGGGUCGAGCCGGUAUGUCAGGAACGGCAUAUUGCCCCG
rfam:Sodalis glossinidius str. 'morsitans' plasmid pSG1, complete sequence.